ACUCAAAUGAAUUGACGGGGACCCGCACAAGCAGUGGAGCAUGUGGUUCAAUUCGACGCAACGCGAAGAACCUUAUCCUGGUCUUGACAUCCUUUGACAGCCUUCGAAAGUUGGUUUUCUCUUCGGAGACAAAGAGACAGGUGCUGCAUGGCUGUCGUCAGCUCGUGUCGUGAGAUGUUGGGUUAAGUCCCGUAACGAGCGCAACCCACGCCUCUUGUUGCCAUCAUUAAGUUGGGCACUCUAGAGGGACUGCCAGUGUUAAACUGGAGGAAGGUGUGGAUGACGUCAAGUCCUCAUGGCCCUUAUGACCAGGGCUACACACGUGCUACAAUGCAAAGUACAAAGGGCUGCGAAACCGUGAGGUGGAGCCAAUCCCAAAAAACUUUGCUCAGUUCGGAUAGAAGUCUGCAACUCGACUUCUUGAAGCUGGAAUUGCUAGUAAUCGCAGAUCAGCACGCUGCGGUGAAUACGUUCCCGGGUCUUGCACACACCGCCCGU
rnacentral:rRNA from 1 species